AUAUCAAUAAGCGCAGGAAAAGAAACCAACAGGGAUUACCUCAGUAACGGCGAGUGAAGCGGUAAUAGCUCAAAUUUGAAAUCUGGCCUCUCGGGGUCCGAGUUGUUGUUUGGAGAGGAUGGUUUGCGUACCGCCCCGAGCUCAAUGUCAUGGAACAGGAUGUCAAAGAGGAUGAGAAUCCCGUCUUGUACCGGCGCUAGGGCCUGUGUCAUACUCCUUCGACGAGGCGAGUUGUUUGUGAAUGCAGCUCAAAGUGGGUGGCAUCUUUCGUCUAAAGCUAAAUAUAGACCAGAGACCGAUAGCGCACAAGUAGAGUGAUCGAAAGAUGAUAAGCACUUUGAAAAGAGAGUUAUUCAGUAUGUGAAAUUGUUGAAAGAGAAGCGCUUGCCACCAGACUUGAGCGCGGCGGUUCCUCCGGUCUUUUGCACGCUCUACUCCUUCGUGUCCAGGCCAACAUCGGGUCUGAUGGUCGGUCAAAGACUCUGGGAAUGUAUCAGCCCACGGGUAAACUUAUAGACCAGGGUGUCAUGCGGCCUCUCGGGACCGAGGAACGCGCUUCGGCUCGGAUGUUGGCGUAAUGGUUGUCAGCGA
rnacentral:rRNA from 1 species